CCAAUAGCGUAUAUUAAAGUUGUUGCAGUUAAAAAGCUCGUAGUUGAAUUUCGGGAUCAAUUUACUGGUCGUGCAAUCGUACGUACUGGUUUUAUUGAUUCCUCUCUUCUGAAGAACUAUGAUGUUAUUAAUUUGGUGUCAUAGGGAAUCAGGACUGUUACUUUGAAAAAAUUAGAGUGUUUAAAGCAGGCUCACGCUUGAAUACAUUAGCAUGGAAUAACGAAAUAGGACGUUUGAUUCUAUUUUGUUGGUUUCUAGGAUCGAUGUAAUGAUUAAUAGGGAGAGUGGGGGGCAUUAGUAUUCAAUUGUCAGAGGUGAAAUUCUUGGAUUUAUUGAAGACUAACUACUGCGAACGCAUUUGCCAAGGAUGUUUUCAUUAAUCAAGAACGAAAGUUAGGGGAUCGAAGACGAUCAGAUACCGUCGUAGUCUUAACCAUAAACUAUGCCGACUAGGGAUCGGAUGAUGUUAAAUUAAUGACUCAUUCGGCGCCUUACG
rnacentral:rRNA from 1 species